rnacentral:rRNA from 1 species
AACGAACGCUGGCGGCAUGCCUAACACAUGCAAGUCGAACGAGACCUUCGAGUCUAGUGGCGCACGGGUGCGUAACGCGUGGGAACCUGCACUUAGGUUCGGAAUAACUCCCCGAAAGGGGUGCUAAUACCGGAUAAUGUCUUCGGACCAAAGAUUUAUCGCCUUUGGAUGGGCACGCGUUGGAUUAGCUAGUUGGUAGCGUAAAAGCCUACCAAGGCGACGAUCCAUAGCUGGUCUGAGAGGAUGAUCAGCCACACUGGGACUGAGACACGGCACAGACUCCUACGGGAAGCAGCAAUGGGGAAUAUUGGACAAUGGGCGAAAGCCUGAUCCAGCUAGGCCGCGUGAGUGAUGAAGGCCUUAGGGUUGUAAAGCUCUUUUACCCGGGAUGAUAAUGACAGUACCGGGAGAAUAAGCUCCGGCUAACUCCGUG